CGCAUCGUUCUAACUUUCUGCGUACUUUUGUACUGCCUUCAGCCCAUGCGUCUCCAUCUCGACAGGCCACUCCACAAGCAACUCCUCAGGGACACUACUCCGGCAUCCUCCAGGGCAACAUCAUCGUCGUCAACGCCUUUUGCCAUCCCAAUGGUGACCAUGCUCUUCGUCACGCCAUCCGAGAGUAGGCAGGCAGCUGGGGCACGGCAUAGAUGUUUCUGAAUCCGCGGAAUUGUUGAAACUCCGAGAGGAAAACCGGAAAUUACCAUUGGAAAUCAGGGCACUAAAAUACGAGAACAGGCGCCUGAAAGGAAGUGUUGCCAACAGUCUACCGCUGAUGACAUCGACGUCGGCAUCGCCAUCCCCCUGAGCAUCGUCUUCCGCAUCCGCAUCCGCAUCGGCAUCAGCAUCCGCAUCCACAAUCGAAUCUGCAUCAACGUCGGCAACAGCAUCAACAACGGUUACAAUGGCGACCCAGACCAUGUCAUCUAACUAUAUAGCUGACGUGGCCAGUCAUAAAACAGAACGGAGAAACCAAAGCCAGAUCUGGCGGAAAAGGCAACGGCAACAACAGCGAUAUCGCCAAGAACAACAACAGCGUCAAAAGAGGCAUCAUCAACAACGAGAUUAACAGUCAUACGAGGAUUGCUACGUCUUCUGGACGAAGCACAGAGGACUUCCGUGUCGUCACAAAGUAUCAAGAUGAUUUCAUCAGACAGAGGCGUUAGACAGUUGACAGUCACGCCCAGUCCUGUCCCAGCUCUCAACUUCAGGAAUAAUCCUCAGUCGCAGAUCUCAGUCGCCCUACUCUGUUGCCAGACAACCUCGGUCGCCCUACUCUGUUGCCAGACAACCUCGGUCGCCCUACUCUGUUGCCAGACAGCCUCAGUCGUCCUACUCUGUUGCCAGACAACCUCGGUCGCCCUACUCUGUUGCAAGUCAGCCUCAGUCGUUCUACCCUGUUGCCAGACAGCGAACCAGCCUCAGCAACCACGUCAACUAGGCGUUGCUCCUCUACAUACAGUUUGGUACAGUCCAGUUACCUUCACCUGCCAGUUACAUCGCUUCAUGUGCAGGAAUUAGGCUUCAUUUCUAAACCCAUGGUCCGACUAAGGGCAGCUUAAGAAGUUAUUUUUCUGUUGGAAUGUUUGAACCAAGUGGACAUGUACAUGUUUAUUGCUUCCUUUAAUGUACAAUAUAACGAAGGUAUCUCAGCACCCUAUUUUGGCCCUUUGAACAUAUCUGCAUGUUUAAUUCAGUUUCACCUCAACAUGUUGGUGCCAUAGUUAACAAACGUAAACGUUCUACCCACACAGCAAUUCCCCUUGAAUCAAUGGUAUGUCACGAUUGCUCACUGGGGCAAGGUACAUAGUGCUUAUUUCGUAUGCCACUAUUGCUCACUGACGAGAUACGUCCCCCAUUAGCUUUACAUAUAGUCAUGCCUUUCUGGACGAUCGGGGGGCACAGCUGGCCCAAUCGUCUAAGGCGCC